AAAACUUUCAACAACGGAUCUCUUGGUUCUCGCAUCGAUGAAGAACACAGCGAAUUGCGAUAGGUAUUGUGAAUUGCAGAUUUUCGUGAAUCAUUGAAUCUUUGAACGCACAUUGCGCCCUCUGGUAUUCCAGGGGGCAUGCCUGUUUGAGCGUCAUU
rnacentral:rRNA from 1 species